CUCGAGUGCAAUUUACCGUCCAUUUUAACUAGAUAAACAUUAAUACAUGACUAGGAGGAAUAAAGCAGCUUGCAAUCCUGGAAUUAGAAUACCAACGACGUUUAAGGCCGACUUUCUCCGAAACCACCAAUCGCCAACAGAGUUCACUCAAAACACCCACUAUAUAUACAACGGCUCAUUUGAUUGGAUAUUAUCCAAGCGAUAUUUAAAUAUUUCACAUAAAUUUUCCUAGUUGAAUAGAGGGUUUUUAGCUAUGGCAGAAAAUGGGCGAAAAAUUUUAGUAGCAAUCGAUGAAGGAGAUGAAAGCAUGUACGCACUCACAUGGUGUCUCAACAAUGUUAUUAGUGAGCAUUCCAAAGAUACCCUUAUCCUCUGCUACGUCAAACCACCUCGAGCUGUCUCCACAGCCAUGGAGGGAACAGGUAAAAUUGUGCAGGAUUGGCAUUUUUUGAAAUGGAUAUAUGAAGGGGGGUAAUGUAAUGUAAUUUUUUUAAAAUUAUGCAGUAUGGGCAUUUUCUCCUGAUGUAAUGGCGAGCAUCGAGAGGUACAGCAAUGGUGUGGCUCAGUGCGUGAUUGACAAGGCGAAAAGAGCUUGCAAGCACUUGAAUGAUGUGAGUUUGGUAAAUUUGCGAUUUCUUCAAGGGUAAAACAGUCAUUUAGAAAAUAAUAGUACUAUGUGGUUUGGUGCGUGUAGGUUAAAGUGGAGAUAGCGGUGGAGCAGGGAGAUCCAAGGGACAUGAUUUGUGAAGUGGCUGAGAAAUUGAAUGUGGAUAUGUUAGUGAUGGGAAGUCAUGGUUAUGGUCUCAUUAAGAGGUAUCAGAUUUUAACUUUUUAUUGGAAGUUGCUUUUUUUCCAAAUUUCAAAUGGGAUUUCGGCAAAAAAAAAAAACAUAGUUUGGAAUAGAAAUUAUUUUAUUUUGUGGGUUAUAUGAUAUUGUUUUGUGAAAAUGGCAGGGCAUUUCUUGGGAGUGUGAGCAAUCACUGUACGCAAAACGCGAAAUGUCCAGUUUUAGUAGUGAAGAAGCCCAAACCAAAUGGCAGCAAUGACAAACACUAAUAAUUACAAAGCUGUUAUUGGUUUGCAUGUACGGAAGUUGAACUUCCUUUUUGAUCAGGCGUGGGGUCCACUUUUGUUUUCCACUUUUCGUCCUUGUUUGGGUUCUGUAAUUUGGUUCCUGUGGUAGUGAGUUUUCUAGGGCUUCGUUUCUUGUCUUAUUCAACUUAUAGUGGCUUUUGCUCACUUUUGCUUAUGCCCAAUUUUUGUUCAAAAAACUGUCCUCGAGUGUUUGACGUCCAAAAUGUUCAUA
rnacentral:lncRNA from 1 species